UUAACACAGAAUAAUUAUCACAGAACAACUAUGACUUCCAUCAUCAUUUUUAUUUUGAUGCUUUUAGCAUUAAAGCAGGAGUGCCGAGGACAGAUCGUCAUCACUCAAACACCGUUAACAAUAGCAGCCCAACCAGGACAAGAAGUGAAAUUAAACUGCAAAGCCAACAGGCCGGUGCAUCUGAAUGACCACAUGACUUGGUACUUCAGGGAACCUGGAGGAGCUACUAAACCACUCAUAAAUCGUGCCACAAAUCGACUCACUGGAGCUCCUUCUAGAUUCACAGGAAGUGGACAUGGAGCAGACUUUACUCUGACCAUCAGCGGAGUCCGGCCUGAAGAUGCAGGACAUUACUUCUGUCAGAGUGACCACACUGGUAAAAUACUCACACGGUGAUAAAGAGCCGUACAAAAACCUCUGUCACACUACACUGCACUGAUACAGCUGAGAGACACUGCAGCCAGUCGCGCACACACACAUGCACACACACAGAAAAACUAGACAUUCAUCCUCCUUGAAAACCAGCUUAAAGCAAAUGUUCAGACAACUUCAAAGACAGUGACCACAGUGUGGUUAUAAAAUAACAUAUAUUUUUCAAACCUGUAUAACUUUCUGUCCUCUGUUGAGCACAAAAGAAGAUAUUCCGA